AAUUACCACCUAAAUUUUUUUUUUUUUUUUUUUAUUUUCACCACAUGUUAACAAAUUUGUUAACAUAUCCGUAAAGUGGGCCCCAGUCCCAACAUCAAGCUCAUUAAAAUUUUACAAAAUACACGCAAAAAACUACUGAAGGCAUACUUUCAAAAAAGAAAAACUACUGAAGGCUUUUGGUUCUUCCUGCUUCUUCCAAUCCGCAUGUAAAUCACAAAUUUGCAUCACAAAACUUGAAAUUGAUUGAGGGAUUUAAUCAGAUAUUUAAUUUCGAGCAAUUUGGUGGGCGAAAGAUGAAGAAUUAAGGAUCGCUCGUGUCUACAUUGAAUUUUUCACCUUCAAAAGAGAAAUAACUGUGGCUGCGAUCCAAUCACAAAAACGGGGAUGCAAAGCUUUGAUCAUUAACAAUCUUUUGCUGGACAAGAAGCAGAUGAAGAGGGAAAUUGAUGGUUUGAAUGGGCAAAUGAGGUAUCUGAUGAAUUAAAUCGAUAGUUUGAAGGUGAAAAAAAAGGCUUUAAUUAAGUUCUGACAGGAAGAAGAUGAACAUGGAAGCAGUAAAGAGAAAGGUUGAAUGUGUGGGAAGCAGUAAAGAAGAAGCAUAGCAGUGAAGAAGUGAAAUAACGUACGUGAGUUAGGGCAGAAUUUGGAGGGAAGUUUAAUUGGUGGGCCCAACUUCACGGAACUGUUAACAAGUCUAUGAACAGGUGGUAAAAAAAUAAAUUAGGUGGUUAUUUAAAACUUUGAGAAUUUUAGGUGGUUAAUUAAAAAUUUGGUAUUUUUUUAGGUGGUAAAUGACAAAAAAUCCAUAUGAAUAAAUUAAUUUGUAAGUGGGAUUGAUGGUGA